rnacentral:rRNA from 1 species
AUUGAACGCUGGCGGCAGGCCUAACACAUGCAAGUCGAACGGUAGCACAGAGAGCUUGCUCUCGGGUGACGAGUGGCGGACGGGUGAGUAAUGUCUGAGAAACUGCCCGAUGGAGGGGGAUAACUACUGGAAACGGUAGCUAAUACCGCAUAACGUCGCAAGACCAAAGUGGGGGACCUUCGGGCCGCACACCAUCGGAUGAGCCCAGAUGGGAUUAGCUAGUAGGUGGGGUAAUGGCUCCCCUAGGCAACGAUCCCUAGCUGGUCUGAGAGGAUGACCAGCCACACUGGAACUGAGACACGGUCCAGACUCCUACGGGAGGCAGCAGUGGGGAAUAUUGCACAAUGGGCGCAAGCCUGAUGCAGCCAUGCCGCGUGUAUGAAGAAGGCCUUCGGGUUGUAAAGUACUUUCAGCGGGGAGGAAGGCGGUGAAGUUAAUAACUUCACCGAUUGACGUUACCCGCAGAAGAAGCACCGGCUAACUCCGUGCCAGCCGCCGCAGUAA